rnacentral:rRNA from 1 species
AGUGAACGCUGGCGGUAGGCCUAACACAUGCAAGUCGAGCGGCAGCACAGUAAGAGCUUGCUCUUACGGGUGGCGAGUGGCGGACGGGUGAGGAAUACAUCGGAAUCUACUUUUUCGUGGGGGAUAACGUAGGGAAACUUACGCUAAUACCGCAUACGACCUACGGGUGAAAGCAGGGGAUCUUCGGACCUUGCGCGAUUGAAUGAGCCGAUGUCGGAUUAGCUAGUUGGCGGGGUAAAGGCCCACCAAGGCGACGAUCCGUAGCUGGUCUGAGAGGAUGACCAGCCACACUGGAACUGAGACACGGUCCAGACGCCUACGGGAGGCAGCAGUGGGGAAUAUUGGACAAUGGGCGCAAGCCUGAUCCAGCCAUACCGCGUGGGUGAAGAAGGCCUUCGGGUUGUAAAGCCCUUUUGUUGGGAAAGAAAAGCAGCAGGUUAAUACCCCGCGGUUCUGACGGUACCCAAAGAAUAAGCACCGGCUAACUUCGUG